UUCACCGGUAGUGGAAUCCUAAUAGUGUUAUUAGUUUUUUCAUAUUCCCACUUUCCACUACCGAUCUAGCUUAUCACCGGUAGUGGAAUCCUAAUAGUGUUAAUUAUAUUUUUCAUUCUUCCCAAUUUCCCUCAUUCUGCAAACGCGAAGAAGAACACACUCUCCAAUCCAAUCGUCCCAAUUCUAGUUCUCCCUAAUUUGUUCCUCAAAUCGUCCCAAUUUCUUCAAAUCAAACACUCUCCAAUCGUUCUCCAAUCAUUCUCCAAUCUCUCCAAUCUCCAAUCGUCCCAAUUUCAUUCGCGGUUUCAUUCUCCAAACCCUAGACGGAACGACGAACCUGCAAACGCUUAAUCGCCUCCAAAUCUCUUCGUUUUCAUUCGGUAAAGGGGUGGAGCUGUUUUCUGUGUUAGGCGGUGGUUGCUGCUCCUACGUGUUGACUGCUGCUGUUUAGGGGCUGGUGUUGCUGUUUUUUGGUGUUGUCCUCUUUGUUUGAAGUUAGAAGGUUCAAUCACGGUCUCAUCUACAGGUAUGGACCGUAGUUGGAUGAGAGCUAAUCGAUUAAGUACUGAGUACAGACAUGGAGUGAUGGAAUUUCUACAGUUUGCGGAAAGUAAUGCUGAACUAGAACGUCCUCCUCCUGAAUUUCCUCCACUUUUUCUAUGUCCGUGUAUAAAUUGUGCAAAUAAAGAACCAAAACGUACUGAGAAA